UCAGGACAUGUUCUCCGCGGGCCCGCGCGCGGCUCCCAGCGGCCCGAGGGGCGGAGAGGCGGCGCGGAGGCGGGGGCCGAGGCUCGGGGACAGGGGCGGAGCGGUCUGGGGACAGCCUCGGGCGCAGAGGACUCCGAAUGGCGGCGGUCAGGACCCUAGAGCUAAAUAAACCCCGCGGCGGCCGCACAACGUCAGGAACUGGACCUCGCUGCUCACCGUCCUGUGAUUGGUCCCGAGGCCUCAGGAGGCGCAGCCAAUAGGCGACCGCCUCUUUCCCCGCGCAGGAGGCGGGCCGCGGCCGUGACGUCAGCAGCGUGCGUCCUGAUUGUGAGGCUACGGCGCGCGCGGUCCCGCGACGCGUCCUCCCGGUUUCCUGCCCUGACUUCCUUUGAUGAUGGACUGUGGUGUGGAACAGAGUCUGAAAUAAACCCUUUCUUCCCCAAGCUGCUUCUGGUCAUGAUGUUUUGUCACAGCAAUGUGCCAACACUCCCCCAGCCUCUUCCAAGGAAGAAUAGGCUAUGGGAGUGCACUGACCAGCUUCCUGCAAAACCAUCCUAAAAAUGCCAUCUGGUUCUUUGAGCUCAGUUGAGGCAAGAGAAACUUCCAGAUCAUUGCCAUGAAUGGAAAUACCUAAGGGGUUAAGGGCAGUGAUGUAGUCCGGUAAUCCCAUCACUAAACUGGCAGAGGCCAGAAACACAAUAAUGAAAGGAUCCCCCCCCCNCCCCCCCCCCGGAAAUUGCUGCAAUAAGGCAUUCAUGUUGUGCCGCAGGUGUGGCUCUAAGGCCUACCACCUUUAGAGGUCAACCUGUGAUGAAUAUGGCUACCCUACCAAGUGC